rnacentral:rRNA from 1 species
UAGAGUUUGAUCCUGGCUCAGAACGAACGCUGGCGGCAUGCCUAACACAUGCAAGUCGAACGGGAUCCGAGCUUCGGUUCGGUGAGAGUGGCGGACGGGUGAGUAACGCGUGGGAACCUGCCCAGUGGUGGGGGAUAACCCCGGGAAACUGGGGCUAAUACCGAAUGGUUCCUACGGGAUAAAGAUUUAUCGCCAGAAGAUGAGUCCGCGUCCGAUUAGCUAGUUGGUGAGGUAAUGGCUCACCAAGGCGACGAUCGGUAGCUGGUCUGAGAGGACGAUCAGCCACACUGGGACUGAGACACGGCCCAGACUCCUACGGGAGGCAGCAGUGGGGAAUAUUGGACAAUGGGGGCAACCCUGAUCCAGCCAUGCCGCGUGAGUGAUGAAGGCCUUCGGGUUGUAAAGCUCUUUUGGCGGGGACGAUGAUGACGGUACCCGCAGAAUAAGCCCCGGCUAACUUCGUGCCAGCAGCCCCGGUCAA